GGUUAAGCGACUAAGCGUACACGGUGGAUGCCCUGGCAGUCAGAGGCGAUGAAGGACGUGCUAAUCUGCGAAAAGCGUCGGUAAGGUGAUAUGAACCGUUAUAACCGGCGAUGUCCGAAUGGGGAAACCCAGUGUGAUUCGUCACACUAUCGUUAACUGAAUACAUAGGUUAACGAGGCGAACCGGGGGAACUGAAACAUCUAAGUACCCCGAGGAAAAGAAAUCAACCGAGAUUCCCCCAGUAGCGGCGAGC
rnacentral:rRNA from 1 species